rnacentral:misc_RNA from 1 species
GAGAGAGAGAAAGAGAGAGAGAUGUGUCCCACAUCGGUUACCAAUCGGUUACCAAGGAAGGUACUGGGUGUAAUAUAUAUGGGUUUGCAACCAUCCCCUUACAAGCUAGCUUUCAAGGUGGAGUUAGAUAAGUUUAUAUCAUUUGGUAUGAGAGCCUCACCUUGUCUGAUCGAUAGGCCAUGAUCCUGGCUCUCUGUACGAAGACAGACAGUCUAAAACGGUCGGGAAUAAUGCGUCCCACAUUGGUUAACAAAAUAGUUCUUGAGUGUUAUAUAUAUGGGUU